CUACGGGAGGCAGCAGUGGGGAAUAUUGGACAAUGGGGGAAACCCUGAUCCAGCAAUGCCGCGUGUGUGAAGAAGGCCUGCGGGUUGUAAAGCACUUUCGGUUGGGAGGACUGCUUCUAGCACUAAUAUUGUUGGAAGUUGACGUUACCUUCAGAAGAAGCACCGGCUAACUCCGUGCCAGCAGCCGUGGUAAUACGGAGGGUGCAAGCGUUAAUCGGAAUUACUGGGCGUAAAGCGCGCGUAGGCGGCUAGAUCAGUCGGGUGUGAAAGCCCCGGGCUUAACCUGGGAACUGCAUCCGAUACUGUCUAGCUUGAGUACAGGAGAGGAGAGUGGAAUUCCACAUGUAGCGGUGAGAUGCGUAGAUAUGUGGAGGAACACCAAUGGCGAAGGCAGCUCUCUGGCCUGAUACUGACGCUGAGGUGCGAAAGCGUGGGGAGCAAACAGGAUUAGAUACCCGCGUAGUC
rnacentral:rRNA from 1 species